ACGAACGCUGGCGGCAUGCCUAACACAUGCAAGUCGAACGAGACCUUCGGGUCUAGUGGCGCACGGGUGCGUCACGCGUGGGAACCUGCCCUUAGGUUCGGAAUAACUCCCCGAAAGGGGUGCUAAUACCGGAUAAUGUCUUCGGACCAAAGAUUUAUCGCCUUUGGAUGGGCCCGCGUUGGAUUAGCUAGUUGGUAGGGUAAAAGCCUACCAAGGCGACGAUCCAUAGCUGGUCUGAGAGGAUGAUCAGCCACACUGGGACUGAGACACGGCCCAGACUCCUACGGGAGGCAGCAGUGGGGAAUAUUGGACAAUGGGCGAAAGCCUGAUCCAGCAAUGCCGCGUGAGUGAUGAAGGCCUUAGGGUUGUAAAGCUCUUUUACCCGGGAUGAUAAUGACAGUACCGGGAGAAUAAGCUCCGGCUAACUCCGUG
rnacentral:rRNA from 1 species